CGGACGGGUGAGUAACACGUGGAUAACCUACCUAUAAGACUGGGAUAACUUCGGGAAACCGGAGCUAAUACCGGAUAAUAUAUUGAACCGCAUGGUUCAAUAGUGAAAGACGGUUUUGCUGUCACUUAUAGAUGGAUCCGCGCCGCACUAGCUAGUUGGUAAGGUAACGGCUUACCAAGGCAACGAUGCGUAGCCGACCUGAGAGGGUGAUCGGCCACACUGGAACUGAGACACGGUCCAGACUCCUACGGGAGGCAGCAGAU
rnacentral:rRNA from 1 species